UAGCUCAGUCGGUAAAGAAUCUGCCUGCAGUGCAGGAGACCCAGGUUCGAUCCCUGG
rnacentral:tRNA from 1 species